AAGGGGGGCGGGGGCUACACAUGCAGUCGAGCGGAACGAGUUAUCUGAACCUUCGGGGAACGAUAACGGCGUCCAGCGGCGGACGGGUGAGUAAUGCCUAGGAAAUUGCCCUGAUGUGGGGGAUAACCAUUGGAAACGAUGGCUAAUACCGCAUGAUGCCUACGGGCCAAAGAGGGGGACCUUCGGGCCUCUCGCGUCAGGAUAUGCCUAGGUGGGAUUAGCUAGUUGGUGAGGUAAGGGCUCACCAAGGCGACGAUCCCUAGCUGGUCUGAGAGGAUGAUCAGCCACACUGGAACUGAGACACGGUCCAGACUCCUACGGGAGGCAGCAGUGGGGAAUAUUGCACAAUGGGCGCAAGCCUGAUGCAGCCAUGCCGCGUGUGUGAAGAAGGCCUUCGGGUUGUAAAGCACUUUCAGUCGUGAGGAAGGUGGUGUAGUUAAUAGCUGCAUUAUUUGACGUUAGCGACAGAAGAAGCACCGGCUAACUCCGUGCCAGCAGCCGCGGUAAUACGGAGGGUGCGAGCGUUAAUCGGAAUUACUGGGCGUAAAGCGCAUGCAGGUGGUUUGUUAAGUCAGAUGUGAAAGCCCGGGGCUCAACCUCGGAAUAGCAUUUGAAACUGGCAGACUACAGUACUGUAGAGGGGGGUAGAAUAUCAGGUGUAGCGGUGAAAUGCGUAGAGAUCUGAAGGAGUACCGACGGUCAAGGCGUCUCCCCUGUACAGAUACUGACACUCAGAUGCCAAAGCGAGGGGACCACAUACGAUUAGAUACCCGGCUAGUCCACGCCGCGAACGAUGUCUACUUGCAGGUGUAGGCUGGACGCGCGGCUUGCGGAGUUAGCACGUCCCCCGACCUGGCUCGGAGCGCACGGUCUCACGAUUAACCCUACAGUUGAGCCCAGCGCGGCCACA
rnacentral:rRNA from 1 species